rnacentral:pre_miRNA from 9 species
CUCGAUUAAAGUAAAAGUUAACUCAAAUUUGUAUGGAGUUAGUACGUGUGCCUACGUUUGCCACUAGGGGCGCUGUCCAACUCUAUACAAAUUUGAGUUAACUUUUACUUUAUCGA